rnacentral:misc_RNA from 1 species
AUGAUCGAUCCGACAGUUCGGUUCUGGAAGGCCGCUACCUCGGACAUCUCGAAAAUGGCGUCCAGCAAACCGCCGGAGAUGAACUACACGUGCGAGAUCUGCGGCCUGGAGGGUUUCAACGACGAGGAGAUGCGCUCGCACAUGGUGCAGUACCAUCUCCAGGGCGCCGCCAACUGCCCGUUCUGCGACCUGGGCGAGAUCUCGCCCACGGAGAUGUUGGUUCACGUCAAUAGCGCUCACCUGGACUACUUGACUCCGAGCACCCCGGAGAGUGACAUGAUGGCAUUCAUCGACGACGACUCGCUGAUGGAUGAGCACAACAGGCGUGAUGAGUGCAGGGCGCUCUCACCAUCCAUGUCCCUGCGACCACCUCAUCUGCAGAACGGUUGGGGCAGCUCUCUGGCGCAGCGCAUCAAGCAACAGCAACAUCAGCAGCAACAACAACAGCAGCUGCUGCAGCAACAACAGCAGUCGUCGAGGAAGUCAGAUGUCCAAGUGGCGAAUCCCAACAUGAAUAACAAUAACAAUAAUAACAACAGUAACAAUGCCAAUGCAGUGUUGGAAGGUGCGGCGGGUCAAGGUUCCCCGCUGCGUUCAGGCCUAAAUCUGCAACUGCGCUCGCACGCUUCCCCAAAACUUCCAGUGCAAGAGUGCCCAAUGUGCCCCUAUAGUUCCGACAGUCCGUUGAGGCUCGAAGAGCAUAUCAAUCGCCAACACUUUGAUCUCACCUCGCCAUCCUUCCCACCGGAAUCGCCGCCAUCCCGGGAUGGAGUCUUCAACUGCCCUCUUUGCGUUACGUCUUUUCCAAAUUCUUCUGAUCUUGAAUUACAUGUCAAUAUUGAGCACAAAGAUAUACUUAGUCCUGCAAACGGAACAAGCUCGCAAUCCGAUACAGCUACUGUCGGUAGUGACUCAACGCCUGCCUGUCCAGUAUGUCUUAGUACAUUAUUUAAAAAUAAUGACGACCUAAUGGCACACAUCGAAGAACACUUCAACAAGAAGAGCACGCCGUCGCCCAUGACACCGGACGUGUCGACCGAUCGUAUGCUAGCGAAGGAUAUGGAGAGAAGAGAAAAGGAAGUGAGAAAACUGCGCGAACAGCGUGAAUUCGAGAUGCUCAGGGCGCAGUAUGGUAUGGAUAAUCAGGGUAACUUUAGAGAACAAAGUGUCACCAAUAUGCAGCGGGCUGUGUAUGCGGGCGAAAUGACGGUGGCCGAUUUCUUCGAGAGGCAGAUCGAGCUCAGAGUCGCCGAGAGCAGCGGUAUCGACGACGGUAGUUCUUGUACACGCGGGCUGGUCCCGAAAGUACGAGCCAUUAGUCAGGCUUGCAGUAACGUAGUAAAUACCUGGAUGUGUUCCACUGUGGACCAUUAUGCAUCAACUUAUGGCGAUAAGGGCUGGGGCUGUGGUUACAGAAAUAUGCAGAUGCUAAUCUCGUCUCUCUUGCAACACACAGGAUACAAUGAUCUAGUUUACAAAGCAUGGAGCUCGGGAGCCGGUGGCAACAGCUCUACAGAGAAUCCUCUACGCAGCUCUAUGCCGUCGAUCUCGAGAUUGCAGAAGAUGAUCGAGUGGGCGUGGGCACAGGGCUUUGAUAUUCAAGGCGCGGAGCAGCUCGGCGGUAAACUCGUUAACACUAGGAAGUGGAUCGGCGCCACGGAGGUGUCAACUGGUGGACUUUCAUAGACCUACCAGCGCGGAUGGUGGCCAUCCCGAGUUAUUUAAUUGGGUCCUGCAAUAUUUUCAACGGUGCGAAGAAUUCAAACCACCUCUUUAUCUUCAACAUCAAGGACACAGCAGAACGAUUAUGGGCGUAGAGCAGAUAAGAGACGGUUCAAUAACCAUGCUGGUGCUGGAUCCGAGUCAUAGCCCGGCGCAAAUGGCAUAUUUCAAUAGCACGAGUAGUGCGCCCGGCGCGAUGAGACUCAUACG